UGAGGAAUAUUGGACAAUGGAGGCAACUCUGAUCCAGCCAUGCCGCGUGAAGGAAUAAGGCCCUAUGGGCUGUAAACUUCUUUAGACGCAGAGCAAUAAGGUUCACGAGUGGACUGAUGAGAGUAUGCGUAGAAUAAGCAUCGGCUAACUCCGUGCCAGCAGCCGCGGUAAUACGGGGGAUGCGAGCGUUAUCCGGAUUCAUUGGGUUUAAAGGGUGCGUAGGCGGCUUUGCAAGUCAGCGGUGAAAGGCCCGGGCUUAACCCGGAAAGUGCCGUUGAUACUGUAAGGCUGGAAUGCGGGUGCUGUGGGAGGAAUGAGUGGUGUAGCGGUGAAAUGCAUAGAUAUCACUCAGAACACCGAUUGCGAAGGCAUCUCACAAAUCCGCUAUUGACGCUGAGGCACGAAAGCGUGGGGAGCGAACAGG
rnacentral:rRNA from 1 species